rnacentral:tmRNA from 1 species
GCCUAUAUCCGUCGUGUCACCUCGGUGACUAUGGCGAUAAACGGCGUAUGGAAUAAGCGUUGCGGACCCGGGGGCGGUACCCGGCGCCUCCACCAAUCACCCGGCCAGUAUCGUGGCCGGCGGAGGGGGGCGAAACAGGCUCGACGCGCGCGGUAAAGAUCCGUCUUUUGCCCGGCAUGGUACCGCCGUCAUCGGACCAAAUCACAAGUGCCAACGAUAACGGUCGCGAGACCGUGGCGCUCGCUGCCUAGAGAUAGGUAAGCGCGGUUCGGGGGGCACCGGGCAACAGAAGCCCCCCACUUCCCUUGGCAUUCGCCCGAUCCAUGCGUAGAUGGCCCCCAU